AGUUGGCUUCAGAUGCUUCAGGAUGUUUUGGUCUUAAAUGUAUUCUGUGGGAUUAAGGAACUCCGAAAGCCCUGAUGUGAGCCUGAGAAUCUUGUGUAUCUUCCUCUGGUCCUACUCUUCCUGGUAAAUGGUUGAAGACAGAAGACUUAUUAUAGAUUUUACAUCCAGCCCAUGAGGAUUUUGACUGAUUCCACUGAGCAGGCUCGGCUGAAAUCCUGCCACAUCCUAGGACCGCAUCACAAGUUGCUGGAGGUAAUAUGAUUACUCUGAGC